GCUUCUCGCUCCGGUCCAGUCCAGUCUGUUGUCCAGAUGAACACAGAGACAACUGCAGAAUCAUCUGAGUAUUUGAAUAGAUGACAGACAUGGGACUUGAGCUGGAAAUCUGAAGUGUACAGAGUGAAAAUGAAUGGUGAGAGUUCAGCUCCCUGUGGUGCUGCUGUGCUGCCGACCACCUGGUUAGACUCACAGUUCUUCAGUUUCACAAACUUUGGUCUGUUUGUGAGGUAGUUGUGGAUCCAGGUGAUUGUCUUGACGUGACACAAGUGGAGAAGGUUUGUCAGCCAUAUCAAAAUUUGUGUAUUUCACAAAACUGCAAUGGAAAAACUUUAUUUUUUUCUUUUUUUUUUGCGUCAUGCCAGUUUGCAUACAGCAGCAAAACUAAAGAGGAAGAAAAAAGUUAUUUUGCACCAGAAUGAAAAUGGUGUUUUUGUGUCCUUCUUAAGCCAUGAUGCAGGGCUAAACUCUUCUGCUGAGCUCAACAGAUACGGGUUCUUCAAAGCACAUCUGUUGUUAACAGCUGUUGUGUUUUUAGCAGAAACCAAAUACUGAAAAAAAAAAUAAAGAGGAAGCAUAAUUUUCCAUAAUUUUCUAUUUAAAUAAACCUUGGAUUAAAAAAAAAUGUUGACAAGGUUUUUUCUGGUACAGCAAUUUUUAGGUAUUCUUUUGUCACAAAGUACUGUGGUUGGAUGAUACGUAACAAGCACGCCCCCCCCCCUCCACCAGUAGGUUACAUGAGAGAAAACAGCUCAUUAGAGAAGCUCUGGCUGAAGGCUCAUUAUACAGAGAGAACUGAGGAAGGAACAGAAAAUAUUACCACAUAAACCGGAACUUGUGAAGCUUCUGACCACGACUGUAGCUUAUGUUUCAGUGAGUAACCACAAACAUUACGGCUGAGAAAAAGUCUGAAAAAACUUACAGUGAGAAGGAAGUACUGGCCAAAGAGCA